rnacentral:rRNA from 1 species
UACGAGGGGUGCAAGCGUUAUUCGGCAUUAUUGGGCGUAAAGGGUGUGUAGACGGCUUUUUAAGUCAACUGUUAAAUUCUCCGGCCUAACCGGAGGUCUGCGGUAGAUACUGAUGAGCUAGAGGGUGGAAGAGAGAAGUGGAAUUCUCGGAGUAGCGGUAAAAUGCGUAGAUCUCGAGAGGAACACCGAUGGCGAAGGCAGCUUCUUGGUCCAUUUCUGACGUUGAAACACGAAAGCGUGGGGAGCAAACAGG